GACGGACGGUGCAAGCGUUGCUCGGAAUUACUGGGAGUAAAGGGCUCGUAGGCGGCCAACUAAGUCAGACGUGAAAUCCCUCGGCUUAACCGGGGAACUGCAUCUGAUACUGGAUGGCUUGAGUUCGGGAGAGGGAUGCGGAAUUCCAGGUGUAGCGGUGAAAUGCGUAGAUAUCUGGAGGAACACCGGUGGCGAAGGCGGCAUCCUGGACCGACACUGACGCUGAGGAGCGAAAGCCAGGGGAGCAAACGGG
rnacentral:rRNA from 1 species